UGCAUUAAACCUUUCUACUAGCCACAGCUUUGCUGUCAGUACAUUUUAUUAUGAUACUAUAAGCUCAGAAAUUAAGUUGAUCAAACAAUUCGAUCUGUGCUAUAAACAUUUAAAUGAACCUACAGAAUAGGCAAUCAAAAUAGAAUCAUCUGAAUUAUCUUUCUUGGACAUACAUUUUGAAGUGACCCUUCGAAUUAAAAAGGUUCCUCAACUGCUUGUGAGGAAAUACAUCAAUGUGCUUGGCCACUCUGGUUUUUAAAUGGUAUUCUGAACUAAAGCAAGGAUUGUUCAAGUUAGUUGAAAAUAGACCGUCUCUGGUUAAAUUAGUUCUACACCAAGCCUUUAGGUGGCAGUAAAACUAAUUGGCACAAUGCGAAUUCCACACACAAGCCACAAAGAAAGAAGCCAUCAACCGCGGCCAAAAACACCUUCCUGAUUGAACAGAACCACGCGCUGUCUGUGUGGUUUCACUGUUACAAGUUUCUUGGCGAUAUGGGGGAAAAGUUCCUCACAUACCAACGGAAAAUGGGCUUCACAUACAUGUAAGUACAUUUUACUCAACUGUGGUUUAAAGUUUCAGUACUCAAGAGCGAUUGAAUAGCUCCUCUGAACACAGAUCCGCCAUUGCUAAGUUGUAGCACAGCCGCUUUACAUAGCUGGUAGCUCAAGUCCCCUCAAUGUGACUACACUAGUUGCUGCUGUACGCUAGUAAAUUCUGAUGACUUGCGAGCAUCGUAAUGACAAAAUGCUGUGGUGAAACAGUGCAUGUGUUAAGUAUACUUGUUGAUGGUAAAUUGUUUGACAUUGCUCGUUCUCAGUUGCCUUUCCCCUGCCUAAAGAUAGACAAAGGCUACCGUUAGCAUGCUAUUGCGUUAGCUCAUCAACUAGAUGCUGGGCACUGCUCAUUUUUCACGUCUGCCCGGCAUUUCGCUGAUGAACUAACGCUUAGACGCCUUGCCAAUGUAUUUUACAGCGGCAAAAAUGCAUCUAGGCGACGUUGGCAAGACUGGUGUGCCGUCUGGGUAUGUUGGUUUUCGAUUCCGUGAUUGUCGCUCCCAACGCAGGACGCUCCCCGGUCGGCUCGCUCCCACUAGCCAGACUAUCGAUCCCACCGCCAUAUAACGGAGCUAGUUAUCUUUUUGAUGUUAGUUUUUUGUUUCUAACCUUAACCCUAAACCUAACCCUAAAUUGCUUGUAUGUGGCAGUGUAUGAUAAUACGUGAAAUAUAAUCGGUGGGACUACACGUCCGGGAGUGAUAGAAACACCUGGGACUACACGUCCGGGAGCGAUCUCAGUUGGGAGUGUCCAUCUAUCUCCCUUGGUUUUCAGUGCUGGGCAGUAGCGAAGCGACUAGUUUAAUUAUAUUCUCUAGUAGCUUGGUCGUAGCGUCACUACUAUGUAUCGAGUAGCUAACGUCCCUGUAGUUAAGCUAUUUUUCCUCAAGUAGCGACGUAGUCUACAAAAGCUACAAUUUGUCCCCCAUCGAUUUUACUCAAUGAUUUUUGUUUUACUUUCUCUAUCCUGAAACCUAGGCAGUCACACAGGGGUUCCAAGACCCACCUGCGUAAAAUCAAGUCAAAGGUGGGAUAUAAUUUAGUUCCAUGCUACUUUGAAACACCUUGCCCUUUCACCAAACCGACCGAUUCUUCCUUGUUGCGUUCUAUAUUAUGACAGCUAACCUUGAGUAGUUCUGGCGGCAGCUCUCAGUAACGCGAGCCCAAUGUAUCAGCGCGAGCUCAAUGUCGACCAGAGUGGUCAAGUUAAUAGAGCACGCCACCCCGAAAUCAAUGUGAAAUACCCUGGCAUUUGCAACAGUAGGCAACCUGUCCUUAAAAAGUAUGGGUCCUCAAAACAGCACUUGUUGCACAAAUAAGUGUAGAUGGCCUCUUCAAGAAAUUGAAAUUAUGUAUGGUCACUUUUUCUUAUUGUUUCACGUGGAGGUCUACUGACCUUGUCUAAAUAAUGUAGGCUAGUUUAUGUCCAUGUAUUAUAUUAGGACCCAAGGUUAAUGGGUUAUUCUAUUUGCCAUGUUUUCACAGGCUGCUGUCUCAUAAUAUGGCGAAGACGAGUCACCUGAAGGCCUAACUCGCCAUAGAAGACUGAAAGAAUUGUCCUGCAGGAUGCUGUGUCCUGCAAUCCUGUGUGCUGUGCUACAGACGCGUCUGGAAGCCAACCUGAAAUAAGCACAGUCUCUCCACAGAGGAGUGAAAGAGGCUCCCAGAAGUGAGACUGAGUGCCUGUUGCAGUAUGACGAGGACACAGUGACCAGAGACCUUCAGUAGACCCUUCUGGCAUGAUUGGCGGCUGAAGAACAUGAAAUCAACAGCAAUGUUUAUAAUGUUGUACAUACCUGUAUAGUCUGUAUUAAAAGGCAGUACCUGUA